UCCUACGAGUGGACAAGACAGAGAGAUGGUAGAGCAAUGAGAAGAGACGACGACAACAACAACAUUAGCGUGAAAACGGUCUGUAAACAAAUUCCAUUCUUUAUGAGGAGAGGGGCCUUUCGUUAUGUAACUGUGUUCUUUUAAGCGAGGCUUUCAUUCAGUCUGUGCCCAAUUUCCGCCUGUGCGGUUUCACUGCACUGAGUUAACUGCUUGUAUGCAGGAACACAGUGUUCCCAGCGUUCUCACAAAAGGAACAGGUUGAGCUUGAACAAUUACUCGAUCGAUGGGUGCAUGAGUUUAUGAGACACUAAAAAUGUUUGAUGAACACAACCACAUCUGCUGGCGUGGGAACAAUGUGUGCGGUAUGAAUAUUCAUUAAAACAGGCAUGAACACAUUAACUCUAGGCUGCAUUCUUCAUUUUCCUUUUCCCACACAUUACUUACUGUGAGGUCACUUUACAGGAAAGAAAAUGCACAUGAGUGGAACUGUUCUACUGGUAACGUCUGUCAUUUUCCUGCGGUCACAAAGAUGGUCAUCUGAUGCCACCUUGACGUCCAGGAAACUUAUCUAACUAGCGGAACAGGAAGCCGCCAUGGGACUUCCUGUUGCAUCCUUUCUCUUUAGCAAUUGACUUUUCAGAUGACUCAACCCAUAGUCAGGAUGUGAAAUCACAAACGCAUCACCCCAUGUUACGAGCAACCGCUUGCCACAGUCGAAUGGAAAUACUUCUCCGAUAGAGAACAGCUUCCCUGCAGACUCCCUGCUAAUCAGCUUAAUCCAAUUUGCAGCCAAAAGAUUAACUAUAUGAGCUUUUAACAGAGAAAUGUCAAGAAGCAUUCAGCAAACUCUCUCAUGCUUGUGAUGUGAUUAACUGUACACUCGUGUAUUCACUGUACUGCACACAGGGCGGUGUGCAACUUAAAGCAGAUGUUUCACAUGCAGUGGAGUGAAAUUCAUUAUAAUGUUCAUUCCCUCUUGAAGACUUUAAUGCCAUGAAAGCCCUGGCCAGUGCUCCUUCAGAAAGAAAUUUAAAAUAAAAAAAACUGUGAUGCCAAAAUAAGAGCACCAAUGUCUCAGCAUCAGUGAACAGACUUAACUUUAACUUGAUUUUAAAUGGUCUUUGUUUGCAUUAGUUGUAAUACUAGCUCUCAGGAUACAGAAUAACCUGUGUCUGAAUUAAUGUGUGGGUAAAAGCAGGAUACCUGCAGUCUGUUACGUGUGACUACUCCAGUUUGUUAUCAGUAACAGUGCGUCUACUUACAAACUUGAACUAGAGUAACCUCCAGGCUUCCUCAGCCACGCCACUCUAACAAUCCUUGCAAGGCCUUCAGAAAUGAAUGCUGACUAUUGGCCGAGCGGCGGUGGUGUUAUAUGUUCGACCAAUGAGAUGCGAGCAAGGCUCCAGUCUCCCCUCCCCCCCACUUCCCAAACAGAGAAAUGACGGCGCAUUUGGGUGUUUCCCCUGCUGCCUCCCUGCUCUCAUCCCCUGCAUCUUUACAGCAGCGGAGUGGAAUGAGACUGAGCAUUCCAGUCAUGCCUUCGACCACGUCUUCCUCCCCCCACCCACAGACCCUGUAGGGCAACAAAUGCACGAGACGUCCCCCACUUUGUAUGAGCAUCCUUUAGAGUGACCCACUUUGCAAGGUUUCAAUUCAAGCAUUGGGAUUUUGUAGCUGGCAGAAAAUUACACCAAGCCUUCAGCAUGAGACCAAGUCUAGUGAGUGGGCUGGAACGGACGAGUCAAAGCAGCAGGUGUUCUCGCUACAUACACACCGGAGGGAACACAAACUCCCAGUUGUGCACCUUCUCACAAGAGGCACGUGUUUUAUGAGCAACUAGGGCGUUCAUAGUUCUAAUUGAACAGCCAAGGGAGUAAAUAAACCACUGUAAAACUCAUUUCUCGUGCUCCCUGUGGCCCUCAUUAUACAGCAGCCUGGAACCCCUGAGACCAUUACCUUGCUUGUCAGGGUCCCCCUCGCUCCUUGUCACCUUUCUAACAUUUCUUCCACUAGUCCAUUCUGUCCUGGUCACUUUGUGUGACACAGCAUUCUCUGAGGUACUAAAGGGGCAGUAGCUAUAAAAACACCAUAGGUGCUGACAGGCCACCGCUUCCAUAUCCAGAGGCUCACACGAACACCCUGCACCGCACUCCUGUCACACAGGCACGUGAUUUAUACCCAUCAGAUAUGAUAAGUGUACCAGGAGAACCUGCAGGUUUUGACAACAAAGGACCUGUGAACAAAUGUCAGAAUAGAAUCAGGUGAAUCUAUGUAGGUUGCUUAGACAUUAAGGGGAUAGGACUUUAAAAAAGGUAAAGGACAGCAAGCUUUCAGGGAAACGUCCUCCCACUCAGAAUUGAUGCUACCCAGUGACAACGAUGCCAAGCGGCAGUGACUGUGGCCCAGGUGUGGGCAGCAGCCUAAUUGCAGUGGUCAGUGGUAAAAGUAAACCCCCAAAAUAGUUGAUGGAAUUCCUCGUGUCAAAUGUCAAACAGCUAAAACGCCCUCUCUAUCCAGGAGUACAGAGAUUCCAGUUUGUCAUGUACAGGAAUCCCUUCUGAAGAUGUGUGCUUCCUCAGUAGCAGGCAGGAGUUAUAUUUGUCAGCACCUUCCCAAAAGUCACGCUGUGGGAAAUUUAUAAGACCACCAGCAGGAGUUCUGCUUGUUUGUUAGGUUUAGCCCUCAGUAGUUCAGCCUGGACUACUUCAGCUAAAGACUCCCAUUAAAGGAUUAUUUUAUGGCCAGUAGCAUUGCAGCACGUCAUGAUCAGGGAGGAUGGAAUAGGCGUAAAUGGACACAGUAUAUGUGAAAAGUGAGGAAGUGGUACAGUGUAAUUGCAUCAGCAUGACCCAAAGUAACUCCUCCUGGGAGAUGGCCCUGUUCCAGACCCGCAAACACUGACACAUGCUGCGUGUACAUCAUAUAGCUGGACAACUUUCACCCGUAGCGCUGGCCCAGAGAAUGACAGCCGCCACACAUGAAGCAGCAAUUCAAAAGCACUUGCUACUGUUUGUAGCUGAACAUCGCUUCACCAAAAGAAAGGACCCUGCUCUAAAACGACGAUCUGCAGGUUCCAUCUGGGAGUUCGACCUACCAGGGCAGCAUGCGUCCAAAACGUGUCCAAGGGCUCCGGGAGACAAGAAAGCCGACAGUGGGAUCCGUUACAGCAUCCCAUGCUCGACCCACAAACAAGAUGAUUGAGGCGUAGAAGGGGUCCAACUGUAAAAAUAAGACACACAGAUUAGAGGAAAUUAAAUUCCAUGGGUCAAUAUUGCUAUUCAAUUUUACUGUAUGUUAAUUUGACUAAAUGUGAUGUAAACAUGACACCAAGCUAGAAAUUCUAGUAAAUCCCUUAAAUUGUAAGAAUGUGGUUAAAAUGAAAUCGUCAGCAGGAACCAUGACAGACAGUGAAAGUGUAACUUGGCAGCUCAGCAUGUCUGGUGUUGGGAAUGACUAUGAAAACCAGGCAUGUUAUCUGCUCAGCUCUCGACUACACAGUCCACAUCAUGCUGUUCACCAAUUAGACUCUUCAUCAACCAUCUCAGUGGUGAAACAAAGUGAAACUCCGGGAAGGCACUGACUUACACGCUAUUUUAGCCUCACCCUUCAGAUUACUGUCAGAACCAAUUAAAGCAAGCCCCCCUCCCCAUCAUAUUCCCAAGCUGCUAUCCCCCUCCCAAAACAUUUUUCAUAAUAAGCCCAUGUAAGCCCUUUUGAUGCAUGACUUUAGUAAUGGAAACAACAAAAAGGACAUUCUUCCACCACCUCAUUUUUGCAGAACAAUCAGCGUCAUUGUUGGCACCGCGUCCUUUGUGUGUCCUUAUCAGAGAGGUGCUUUGAGGAUCAUGUACAAGCCCAGCAUGUAAAACCCACCUCACAUGUUACGACAAGACAGUGGCGUGCAGGAAUGAUGCACAGUAUAUUCCCUUUCCCAGGAAGAUGGCCUUUUGAUGACAGCAGUGCUGCUAUACUUAAGCGGGUCUUAUUGAAGUGACACCAAACGCCCCGACGUGUUGGAUUUGUAGGUCGGCCGACCUCUACCAACUCACCUGAGCUACAUCCAAUAAAUAGAUCUGCAGAAAAAAGCCCAGAGCGGAUCCAGUCAUCUGAUAGGGAGCUCCGCCGAUGGCAUAGCUUAUCUUGUUGCAGACGGACAACCUGUUGUCAUUCUCAGGCUGGAGGAAAACAAGGGGAAAACAACAGGAAAAUUAAGGUUAAUCGAGGGUGGAGUCAUACACAAAACAGUUUAAUGUAAAAAUUACUGCAUGCAUUUUCUGCUUUCAAAAACACUAUACUUUUGCAGCCAGUUGACUGAAGUAUUUUUGGAACCCACAAAGCUUUUUAGGGCCUGGCUCAUAAUUAUAGGGGAGGGCAAUUUUGCAGAAUCAACAACAUGCAUUUAAACCUGGGUGAGGACAACACAGCAGCACACGCUUCCUUGGCCUAAAUGAAAGCAACUUUCUCCUUCCAUGGCCAAAAGUUUUAAUCCUGAACUUGUCAUUGCUCCAGUCUCGCCAGCUUCUCACUAGUCCGAUUAAGACAUUUUUAUCACAUUCUUUUCAUGGCCUACAAGGAAUGUAGUCUAGAUUCCUAAUCACCAGAGAAUCUUGGAGAAACUCCUGAGAAUGCUACUGGAGUAAAUGAGGUGGCAAAGCAGAGCAGACUCUGCUUUCUUCAGUCUAGAUGUGAUCGUUUCCCAAGUCUGACUUUUAACAACUCUUAAAAUAGCAACACAAUAUGGCAACACCAUGGUGUCACACAAUCCAAAAGCCAGGGGUGACGGCAUCAGGCCAGCAGCUUGAAUGGGCUUAACACACAAAGAGAUGUCAGAAUGACCAAUGCUGUGACCACAGAGGGUUGAGAACGCCCCCGUACCCUGACCAAUCGCAGGUCUGGCUGUGCUGACACCUAAUCGCCCAUCUUUUUCCUCAUUCAACAGUAGUGAUGAAAAUGUUGGAGAUUUACAAGCUCCACACAAAAAGCUCAAAGCUGAAGGCACUCCCUAAUAAGGACAGCUCCAUCACAGUGAUACAACUAUACUAGUGCCUGAGCCGUUGUUGCAGACAUAUCAUCACACAAGACAAAAUUCUCCAGAACCCGUUCUGUCUGCAUGAGUCAUUCUGUGUCUCCUUUCUAUACGAUUAUUUCGAGAACUCAGACGUGUCACAAUCACAGCACGCAUCAGAGCAACGGCAUAUUAAGGUCCCGUGAUCGCAUGGAUUACCAGUAUUAGAGAAGUAAAAUGAGUCAAAUCCUUUGGCAAAUACUACAAAGUUGUGCCUCCCAUUCAGUACAUUAACCAAAGAAUUGUAACAACAUUUUAUCGCCUUCUGUUAUCAUUGCUGCUGCUAAUGAUGUGUUAUUACUGUAAACUGAUAACACACUCACAGUAGAUCAGGGGCAUGUACUUAAAUGACUUUUGCUUUUGGAAUAUUUGAAAAGAAGGUUAGAUGGAAACUGGGACUGACUGGGAUUCUAUGCUAAUCAUUUCAUGGCUGCUCAUUCCGCGUGUGACACGUCGCCUAGCCCGGAGCCUCCGGCUACGUUCCAAACUAUCGGAAAUAUGGACACCACUCUCAGAGUGUGGUGGUAAUGGGUGGUUUUUGUCGUGUAACAACCACGCAUAUUUCCCAGAAGAAAGAUCACAUGAAAAUGCAAUCACUGUAAACCGAUAGGCGUAGGAUAUGACACAUCCCAUCUGCUGAUGGUCCAUGAACGCAGCACGGGAACACACCUAUCUGCGGAGUGAAGCUCACACAGCGAUACGAAGGAUGUGACCCACAAAGCAUUUACUGUCGCUUCAUAAAACCUUGUAAUUAUAAAUAAAGCAUUUACAGCAACCCUCA